AUUGAACGCUGGCGGCAUGCCUUACACAUGCAAGUCGAACGGCAGCACGGGAGCAAUCCUGGUGGCGAGUGGCGAACGGGUGAGUAAUAUAUCGGAACGUGCCCAGUCGUGGGGGAUAACGUAGCGAAAGCUACGCUAAUACCGCAUACGAUCUAAGGAUGAAAGCGGGGGAUCGCAAGACCUCGCGCGAUUGGAGCGGCCGAUAUCAGAUUAGCUAGUUGGUGAGGUAAAGGCUCACCAAGGCGACGAUCUGUAGCUGGUCUGAGAGGACGACCAGCCACACUGGGACUGAGACACGGCCCAGACUCCUACGGGAGGCAGCAGUGGGGAAUUUUGGACAAUGGCGCAAGCCUGAUCCAGCAAUGCCGCGUGCAGGAUGAAGGCCUCGGUUGUAAC
rnacentral:rRNA from 1 species